rnacentral:rRNA from 1 species
GCAACACCUGCCCAGUGAACAUUAAACGGCCGCGGUACCCUAACCGUGCAAAGGUAGCAUAAUCAUUUGUCUACUAAUUAUAGACCUGUAUGAAAGGUAACAUGAGGGUCUAACUGUCUCUUAUAGUCCAUCAAUUAAACUGAUCUUCUAGUAAAAAAGCUAGAAUAAUAUCAUAAGACCAGAAGACCCUGUGAAACUUAAACUAAAAUAUUAAACCACGUAAUAACUACUUUCGGUUGGGGCGACCUUGGAACAAAAAAGAACUUCCAAACACAUAUAAAUAACCACAAUCACCUUCAGGCCAACAAGCCUAUAAUGACCCAGCAUAGCUGAUAAUUGAACCAAGCUACUCCAGGGAUAACAGCGCUAUCUUCUUCAAGAGCCCAUAUCAAAAAGAAGGUUUACGACCUCGAUGUUGGAUCAGGACAUCCUAAUGGUGCAACCGCUAUUAAGGGUUCGUUUGUUCAACGAUUAACAGUCCUACGUGAUCUGAGU